rnacentral:rRNA from 1 species
UACGUAGGGUGCGAGCGUUAAUCGGAAUUACUGGGCGUAAAGCGUGCGCAGGCGGUUCGUUGUGUCGGCGGGGAAAGCCCCGGGCUCAACCUGGGAAUGGCCGUUGAAACUGGCGAACUGGAGUGUGGCAGAGGGGGGUGGAAUUCCGCGUGUAGCAGUGAAAUGCGUAGAGAUGCGGAGGAAUACCGAUGGCGAAGGCAGCCCCCUGGGCUAACACUGACGCUCAGGCACGAAAGCGUGGGGAGCAAACAGG